GACACAGAAGAAAGGUGGGACUCCAAUGGGGGAAAAAAGAAGCAAUGACAAACAGAAACACAGCAAAGCAGGACAGUGUGGCUGGCAGGGAAGGGACUUCAUGGAACAACGUGAUGACAGAUGUUGGUGGAGUGUUUACACAGUGGCUAUUUAGGAAAAACAAUGUCUGAAGCCUCAUCAGAUUGACUACAAAGCUUCCAGUGAUCUUCCCUCUUCAGCUGUGGACAAUACCUUAACUGCAGGGAUGAUGUUAUGUUGG